AAUCAACGCUGGCGGCGUGCCUCAGACAUGCAAGUCGAACGCGAAAGUUCCCUUCGGGGAGCGAGUAGAGUGGCGCACGGGUGAGUAACACGUGGGUAAUUUGCCUUCGGGUGGGGAAUAACAGUCGGAACGACUGCUAAUACCGCAUGAUGCAGCGGCGCCAACAUGGUGACAGUUGUUAAAGCGGGGGAUCGCAAGACCU
rnacentral:rRNA from 1 species